rnacentral:rRNA from 1 species
UGCAACUCGACUGCAUGAAGCUGGAAUCGCUAGUAAUCGCGAAUCAGAAUGUCGCGGUGAAUACGUUCCCGGGUCUUGUACACACCGCCCGUCACACCAUGGGAGUUGGUAACGCCCGAAGUCAGUGACCCAACCGCAAGGGAGGGAGCUGCCGAAGGCGGGACCGGUAACUGGGGUGAAGUCGUAACAAGGUAAC